GACGAACGCUGGCGGCGUGCUUCAUACAUGCAAGUCGAACGAUAAGGUUCCUUCGGGAAUACAUAAGUGGCGGACGGGUGAGUAAUAUGUAGAGAAUCUGCCCUAAAGCGGGGGACAACAGAGGGAAACUUCUGCUAAUACCCCAUAUGCGCGUAGUUGAGAUACUAUUCGUGAAAGAUUUAUCGCUUUAGGAUGAGUCUGCAUCUGAUUAGCUAGUUGGGGGUGUAAUGGACCACCAAGGCGACGAUCAGUAGCUGGUUUGAGAGGAUGAUCAGCCACAAUGGGACUGAGACACGGCCCAUACUCC
rnacentral:rRNA from 1 species